UACGGGGGGAGCAAGCGUUGUUCGGAUUUACUGGGCGUAAAGGGCGCGUAGGCGGUCAGCACAAGUCAGUUGUGAAAUCUCCGGGCUUAACUCGGAAAGGUCAACUGAUACUGUGCGACUAGAGUGCGGAAGGGGCAACUGGAAUUCUCGGUGUAGCGGUGAAAUGCGUAGAUAUCGAGAGGAACACCUGCGGCGAAGGCGGGUUGCUGGGCCGACACUGACGCUGAGGCGCGAAAGCCAGGGAGCGAACGGG
rnacentral:rRNA from 1 species